rnacentral:rRNA from 1 species
GAGAAGGAGCAUGAGACACGGCUGCUACAUCCAAGGAAGGCAGCAGGCGCGCAAAUUACCCACUCCGCAAUGCGGGAGGUAGUGACAGUACCUAUCGAUGGGGCGUCCUUGUGGCGCCCUAAUUGGAAUGAGGCAGUCCCAAAGCCCGUGCUGAGGAACGAUUGGAGUGCAAGUCUGGUGCCAGCAGCCGCGGUAAUUCCAGCUCCAACAGCAUAUAUUAUGGUUGUUGCAGUUAAAAAGUUCGUAGUCGAACAGCGGGGGCGGGCGAUUGCCGUCUCUCCUUUGUGGGAGCGGUCGCCGACGUUGCCCCCUUGUCCCCUUUGGCGUGAACCUCGUUUCGGCGGGGGGAACCCGGGGAUCUUACCUCGAACAAAUGAGCGCGCUCGAGGUAGGCAACGAUUGCCUGGAUCGAUUAGCAUGGAAUAACAGAUGGACGGCGGGCCGUCGUCUGUUGGUUGGCAUGUCCGCCGUAAUGAUUAAUAGGGGUGCUCGGGGCCAGCCGUACUGCCGGGGGAGGGGUGAAAUCCGUUGAUCCUGGCAAGACGUCCUACUGCGAAAGCAGCUGGCAAGGGCACUUUCAUUGAUCAAGAACGAAGGUUGGGGGAUCCGAAAUGAUUAGACACCGUUGUAGUCCCAACAGUAAACCCUGCCGACGCGGGCUCUGGCGUCUGUGGUCCAUUCGCUGGGGCCCGUGGAGAAAUUAGAGUUUUUGGGCUCUGGGGGGAGUAUAGUCGCAAGACCGAAACUUAAAGGAAUUGACGGAAGGGCACAACCAGGUGUGGAACCUGCGGCUUAAUUUGACUCAACACGGGGAAACUCACCAGGACAGGACAUGACGAGGAUUGACAGACUGAGAGACAUUUCAUGAUCUCAUGGGUGGUGGUGCAUGGCCGUUCUUAGUUCGUGGAUCAGUUCGUCUGGUUGAUUCCGAUAACGAACGAGACCGGAACGUGUGGUUGGCGUUGGCUCGAUCGUCCUGCUUGCGGCCGCUUCGGCGGUGGCCUUGGUUGCCUUAACGCGAGUCUCCUUGUUGGGACGUAAGCAGGGCGUGCCUCGUGUGGAUAUUCUUACACUUUGAAACCGAGGUCCACGCCCAAUCAUGCGGACUGCCCGCGUUUAGUGGGUGGAGGUCUCCGGCAAUAACAGGUCUGUGAUGCCCUUAGAUGUCCUGGCCGCACGCGUGUUACACUGACGACGCCAACGGGUUACUUCCUUCCUGCGCCGAGAGGCCUGGGGAAUCCUGUGAAGCGUCGAUCGUGCUGGGGAUCGAGCUUUGUGAUUCUUGCUCGUGCAACUUGGAAUACCUUGUAAUCGUGGGUCAUCAUCCCAUGCUGAAUAUGUCCCUGCCCUUUGUACACACCGCCCGUCGCUACUACCGA